AGCGAACGCUGGCGGCAGGCUUAACACAUGCAAGUCGAGCGGGCCUUUCGGGGUCAGCGGCGGACGGGUGAGUAACGCGUGGGAACGUGCCCUCUGGUUCGGAAUAACUCAGGGAAACUUGAGCUAAUACCGGAUACGCCCUUUUGGGGAAAGGCUUGCUGCCGGAGGAUCGGCCCGCGUCUGAUUAGCUAGUUGGUGAGGUAACGGCUCACCAAGGCGACGAUCAGUAGCUGGUCUGAGAGGAUGAUCAGCCACACUGGGACUGAGACACGGCCCAGACUCCUGCGGGAGGCAGCAGUGGGGAAUAUUGGAGAAUGGGCGCAAGCCGGAUCCAGGCAUGACGCGUGUGUGAAGAAGACAUUCGGAUGGUAGAGAAGAUUAAGGUGGGAGGAAGGGCAGUAAGUUAAUACAUUGCUGUUUUGACGGUACCAACAGAAUAAGCACCGGCUAACUUCGUG
rnacentral:rRNA from 1 species